rnacentral:rRNA from 1 species
GAUGAACGCUGGCGGCGUGCCUAAUACAUGCAAGUCGAGCGAACAGACGAGGAGCUUGCUCCUCUGACGUUAGCGGCGGACGGGUGAGUAACACGUGGAUAACCUACCUAUAAGACUGGGAUAACUUCGGGAAACCGGAGCUAAUACCGGAUAAUAUAUUGAACCGCAUGGUUCAAUAGUGAAAGACGGUUUUGCUGUCACUUAUAGAUGGAUCCGCGCCGCAUUAGCUAGUUGGUAAGGUAACGGCUUACCAAGGCAACGAUGCGUAGCCGACCUGAGAGGGUGAUCGGCCACACUGGAACUGAGACACGGUCCAGACUCCUACGGGAGGCAGCAGUAGGGAAUCUUCCGCAAUGGGCGAAAGCCUGACGGAGCAACGCCGCGUGAGUGAUGAAGGUCUUCGGAUCGUAAAACUCUGUUAUUAGGGAAGAACAAAUGUGUAAGUAACUAUGCACGUCCUGACGGUACCUAAUCAGAAAGCCACGGCUAACUGCGUG